ACAUACGAUCAUAGGAAACUGAGAGCAGAAUUCUCCGUUCGAUCAACUGUACUUGAGCAGUUUACCGGCGAAUUAGCAGUCAGGCGGGUGACCACUGGCAAAUCCCCGCUGUCGUAUGUU
rnacentral:rRNA from 1 species